ACACAUGCAAGUCGAACGGAACUUCUUUAAAGGAUUUCUUCGGAAUGAAUUUGAUUAAGUUUAGUGGCGGACGGGUGAGUAACGCGUGAGUAACCUGCCUCUAAGAGGGAAAUAACAUUCUGAAAAGAAUGCUAAUACCGCAUAAUAUAUAUUUAUCGCAUGGUAGAUAUAUCAAAGAUUUAUCGCUUAGAGAUGGACUCGCGUCCGAUUAGUUAGUUGGUGAGGUAACGGCUCACCAAGACCGCGAUCGGUAGCCGGACUGAGAGGUUGAACGGCCACAUUGGGACUGAGACACGGCCCAGACUCCUACGGGAGGCAGCAGUGGGGGAUAUUGCGCAAUGGGGGAAACCCUGACGCAGCAACGCCGCGUGAAGGAUGAAGGUCUUCGGAUUGUAAACUUCUUUUAUUAAGGACGAAGAAAGUGACGGUACUUAAUGAAUAAGCUCCGGCUAACUACGUGCCAGCAGCCGCGGUAAUACGUAGGGAGCAAGCGUUGUCCGGAUUUACUGGGUGUAAAGGGUGCGUAGGCGGCUUUGCAAGUCAGAUGUGAAAUCUAUGGGCUCAACCCAUAGCCUGCAUUUGAAACUGCAGAGCUUGAGUGAAGUAGAGGCAGGCGGAAUUCCCCGUGUAGCGGUGAAAUGCGUAGAGAUGGGGAGGAACACCAGUGGCGAAGGCGGCCUGCUGGGCUUUAACUGACGCUGAGGCACGAAAGCGUGGGUAGCAAACAGGAUUAGAUACCCUGGUAGUCCACGCUGUAAACGAUGAUUACUAGGUGUGGGGGGUCUGACCCCUUCCGUGCCGGAGUUAACACAAUAAGUAAUCCACCUGGGGAGUACGGCCGCAAGGUUGAAACUCAA
rnacentral:rRNA from 1 species